ensembl:lncRNA
GUUUCAAACUUAACCUGCGCAAAACCUGGUCCGACCAGGUUUGAUUCAGAGCAUAUGUUGCUAUAGCAACUAACAUACCGUGAUCCUUUUGGAACGGAAAACCUAGGGUUAUAAAAACCCUGGGUUAACUUACCCGUGUAGAAUGUUGGUGUAUUUUAGUGUCUCUCUUAUUGUUCACAUUUCUAGUCUAGGAACAGGCCAGGGCCUCUCAUACUGAUACAAGGUGUUAUCCCCAACAUUCUGCCAUUGUUAUGUCUCAAGGUAGGUUGAACCUGGCCUCCGGGACAUAGCCAGGGCCAAAUACCUUAUCAAGGCUGAGAGUGCGUCUGUUCACGUGUUAUUCAUCUAUCCCCUUUUUGUAUUAUACUCGCCCCAACCCUUUGGUUCGACGAGUAGAGGGUUUCGACAGCCAAGGAACAAGUCAUCGACCACCGGGUCCACUAUAGAUUAUUCAACCUAAGUCUGUAUCUCGCUGUACAUCCUGGAAUAAACCAUCUAUUCAACCCUCUAAUCCAACCUGUCAAGCUGCUUUGAUUUCGACUUCAAGAAUUACUACUACGACUGAAAAUACACAACGCAGAGUCUGUCCGAACAGUUUAGAAAUAAGCUGAAAUCUAACAUUUGGUGCCGUGACACCGUCUUGAAGAGAGAGGAGUGAGAAGACGAUUGCCUCUGAAGAUUGCCCUGUGACCGAGAAGAGCGCGCGCCCUGCCUGGGAAGACGUCUGAUCAACGCCUGCCCUGCCGAGGGACCCGCAUCCACAACGCGGCUGAACCAGCGCAUCUCUAUGCACCACGUGGGAAUCAACGGUGACUGAAUCUCAUUCCACACUCUCGACCAAGAGAAAAGAACAAGAAAGUAAUCUUAAAAUAAUCUACACACACAUAACUGUGAUUAUUAUUAUUUGUGAACUGUGUCUGUGUUUGUCCUGACGCCCUACUACGAACUUUCAUCCUCAUCCCCCAUCACACCUGCGGUGGCCAUCAACUGGAAAAUAACUCUGUUGCAACUGCUACUCAAAACCAACUGAGUCAUGCAGUAUUGUCUGUGAUGUUGUUGUGCCAAGCAGAGGGAGGUGUCUCGACAGUUGACUUUCUUGAUUCUUUAAAAAUGUCUUAAUCAUGAGUAACCUAAUGAGUUUGUUAUUUUCUUUAUUAUAGUGGCCUACACCUGGUUUACUUGUGUAUGAUUUGAAUUUACUUGUCCUAUUGCCUUUUAUGCUUUCUUUCAUUGAUUUAGUUAAUUAUUAAUAGGUCACCAGAAAAUACACUGAAUUCUCUUUUUGUGGGUGAUCUUUAAACUAUGUUUAGUAUGAUCAAGAGGGAGGAAUGUAGAAUGUUGGUGUAUUUUAGUGUCUCUCUUAUUGUUCACAUUUCUAGUCUAGGAACAGGCCAGGGCCUCUCAUACUGAUACAAGGUGUUAUCCCCAACAUUCUGCCAUUGUUAUGUCUCAAGGUAGGUUGAACCUGGCCUCCGGGACAUAGCCAGGGCCAAAUACCUUAUCAAGGCUGAGAGUGCGUCUGUUCACGUGUUAUUCAUCUAUCCCCUUUUUGUAUUAUACUUGCCCCAACCCUUUGGUUCGACGAGUAGAGGGUUUCGACAGCCAAGGAACAAGUCAUCGACCACCGGGUCCACUAUAGAUUAUUCAACCUAAGUCUGUAUCUCGCUGUACAUCCUGGAAUAAACCAUCUAUUCAACCCUCUAAUCCAACCUGUCAAGCUGCUUUGAUUUCGACUUCAAGAAUUACUACUACGACUGAAAAUACACAACGCAGAGUCUGUCCGAACAGUUUAGAAAUAAGCUGAAAUCUAACACCCGGUUAUGUGAUAAAACCGGCUUUGUGGAACACCCCACUGGUCCAGGAUCCGUCAAGUACAGCAUGUGGGCAUCAUUGUGCUUUUUUCUUGUUUAAUAUGCAAAAAGGGGUAUCCUAUCAAAAGUUUUUGAAAAUGUAUGGGGAUAAUUUACCCCGUAAUGAUGAAAAGGUUUAUGACUUUGUUAA